GAUGAACGCUGGCGGCGUGCCUAAUACAUGCAAGUCGAGCGAACAGAUAAGGUGCUUGCUCCUUUGACGUUAGCGGCGGAAGGGUGAGUAACACGUGGAUAACCUACCUAUAAGACUGGGAUAACUUCGGGAAACCGGAGCUAAUACCGGAUAACAUAUUGAACCGCAUGGUUCAAUAGUGAAAGGCGGCUUUGCUGUCACUUAUAGAUGGAUCCGCGCCGUAUUAGCUAGUUGGUAAGGUAACGGCUUACCAAGGCAACGAUACGUAGCCGACCUGAGAGGGUGAUCGGCCACACUGGAACUGAGACACGGUCCAGACUCCUACGGGAGGCAGCAGUAGGGAAUCUUCCGCAAUGGGCGAAAGCCUGACGGAGCAACGCCGCGUGAGUGAUGAAGGUCUUCGGAUCGUAAAACUCUGUUAUCAGGGAAGAACAAAUGUGUAAGUAACUGUGCACAUCUUGACGGUACCUGAUCAGAAAGCCACGGCUAACUACGUG
rnacentral:rRNA from 1 species